rnacentral:rRNA from 1 species
AGUGAACGCUGGCGGUAGGCCUAACACAUGCGAGUCGAACGGCAGCACAGUAAGAGCUUGCUCUUACGGGUGGCGAGUGGCGGACGGGUGAGGAAUACAUCGGAAUCUACUUUUUCGUGGGGGAUAACGUAGGGAAACUUACGCUAAUACCGCAUACGACCUACGGGUGAAAGCAGGGGAUCUUCGGACCUUGCGCGAUUGAAUGAGCCGAUGUCGGAUUAGCUAGUUGGCGGGGUAAAGGCCCACCAAGGCGACGAUCCGUAGCUGGUCUGAGAGGAUGAUCAGCCACACUGGAACUGAGACACGGUCCAGACUCCUACGGGAGGCAGCAGUGGGGAAUAUUGGACAAUGGGCGCAAGCCUGAUCCAGCCAUACCGCGUGGGUGAAGAAGGCCUUCGGGUUGUAAAGCCCUUUUGUUGGGAAAGAAAAGCAGCAGGUUAAUACCCCGCUGUUCUGACGGUACCCAAAGAAUAAGCACCGGCUAACCUCGUG